rfam:Zootermopsis nevadensis contig18977, whole genome shotgun sequence.
GCCACAGUGGUCUAGUGGUCAGAACGCUAGCCUUGUAAGCCUGGGGUCCCGGGUUCAAUUCCCGGUGGUGCUC